rnacentral:tRNA from 2 species
GGACGACUUGGUGUAGCGGAAGCACGCCCCCCAGUGGAGGGGGUAGGUCGGGUUCGAAUCCCGAAGUUGUCCG